rnacentral:rRNA from 1 species
CAGUCGCCGCGGGAAUACAGAGGGUGCGAGCGUUAAUCGGAUUUACUGGGCGUAAAGCGUGCGUAGGCGGCUUCUUAAGUCGGAUGUGAAAUCCCUGAGCUUAACUUGGGAAUUGCAUUCGAUACUGGGAAGCUAGAGUAUGGGAGAGGAUGGUAGAAUUCCAGGUGUAGCGGUGAAAUGCGUAGAGAUCUGGAGGAAUACCGGUGGCGAAGGCGGCCCCCUGGACAAAGACUGACGCUCAGGUGCGAAAGCGUGGGGAGCAAACAGGAUUAGAUACCCGGGUAGUCCCUGUCUCUUAUAC